UGGGCCUGGGUGUUCCGCGGGAAGUUGGCUGCGACCGAAUGGAGGAGGAGGGGCGGCAGGUGCGCGGAGCUGGAAGAACCCGCCGUUCAGACAGAAUAUCUGCCUCGCCUUUCUUGCCCUCUCUCCAUCACCGUUGGGAGAGAUGGGGGAGGGGAGGAAAGGGAACCACCUAACCAGAGCUGCCUGAGGUGAACAUAAUUCCUCUGCCAGUCUUCUACCUUGACUUCUGUCUUGUCUCAAGCCCACAGCAAUGGAACUGGAAGACAUGGACUGAAACCGUUAAGCCAAAAUAAAUCUUUCUUCUUGAAAGCGUCAGAAGACACUGCUGCCUCCUCAUCUAGAACUCUGAAGCUCUCAUCCAACAUCAUCAAAAGAAUGCAAGCCCAUUAUGUCUUAAAAAUUCUUCAGAUUUUUGUAGCUGAUGGUCAUGCUUGGCUUCUUGAAAUAUUAAAUAAAUAAUAUUCUCAUUUCUUAGUCAACACUGAGGUUUAUAUGGAGAGCAAUGUAAAAGACCAUUAAAUUCUUUAGAGUAGCUUUUCUAAGAGAUUGAAAGCUUCUAGGAAGCAAGAACUUUCAAGACUUCAACACUUGACCUUCAACUAUAGCAUUUAACAAAGGAUAUAGCAGCUACCCCAUAGGCUUGUCUCUGGGCAUCUAGAACUGACCUCUGCUUCAAGAGGACUCAAAAUACGCCCGAGAUAACCCAGCAGAGCAGACUGUCUGCCGUGCGGGAUGGUGAAGCAUUAAGAGUCUAAACCUGGUGAACAAUCUGCAGAAAUUCGGAGUACUAGGAGGCAAUCCAUCCAGUCACUCAGGUCUAAAAUGUUGCGGUUCUACGAUCUUAACGACACCCAGAAACACGAGGCGUCACGGCCGACCCAGA